CCCUUAGAUGUUCUGGGCCGCACGCGCGCUACACUGAUGCAUUCAACGAGUCUAAAACCUGCUCUGAUAGGGGUGGGUAAUCUUUUGAAUGUGCAUCGUGAUUGGGAUAGAUGAUUGAAAUUUUUCAUCUUCAACGAGGAAUGCCUAGUAAACACAAGUCAUCAGCUUGCAUUGAUUACGUCCCUGCCCUUUGUACACACCGCCCGUCGCUCCUACCGAUUGAAUGAUCCGAUGAAUAUCAUGGAUUGAGGAUGCAAGUAGGUUCACCUAUCUUCAUCUUCGAGAAGUGAAGUAAAUCUUAUCAUUUAGAGGAAGGAGAAGUCGUAACA
rnacentral:rRNA from 1 species